rnacentral:lncRNA from 1 species
AUGACUUCGUGUCCUCUACUUCCUGUUUCUGAUACUGACUCUGGGCUACUGAAACUGCUGUUAUCUCUACUGUCCAGACUCAGUCAGGUCCAGGUUGGUACUCUACUGUCCAGACUCAGUCAGGUCCAGGUUGAUACUCUACUGUACUAUACUAUGCUAUACUAUCUCUUCAGUCCAGACUCAGUGAGGUUCAGGCUGAUCCCAGACAGCAGAUCUCCUCCACAGCUUCUGUUCAGCAUUUCCUUCAGUGCUUCAUUCACGUCAUUAUUAAACACAGUGGAGAAGUUACAGCUGAGGUAGCCCCCUCCUCCUCCGACCCCGUCCGCGACCCCGCCCGUGACCCCUAACGACCCCACCACCUCCUGCACCCACUUCAGCUCGUCGCUCAGCUCCUGUCUCAGGGCGUCAAAGUGUCUCUUCCUCUCCUGGUAGCGGGCGCUAACGUCACUAAGAUAACUGUACCUAU